GAAUUAUCGGGCUGCCCCAGCGCGCCGUGUUGUGUGACGCAGCGACAGGUUCAAAGGGGGAAGAGGGCGGGGCGCCGUAAUGACGCAAUGACGCACAGCAGCUGGGGCCGCGCUGACAGAGUGCGCUCUGCUUCCUUGACAACUGCUGGCGCCAAAAUAGGCAACGGCAGUUUGCUGAAUAUAUGAACAAGGUACAGAGGGCUAUGAAGUUCACACUGGUAUAUCAUGAUACGCUGAUAAUUUGGAUGUACAGAUAAAGAAAAGAAAAGCACGUUAGAAAACGUUAGAUAAAAUUCAGCUCCUGUUCGUGGAAAGGUCUUGCAGAUCUUCAUGCCCAUGGAGUUUGGUGUGGACUGUAAAGGUACGUUUGCACCAUGGACCCAACCGAGGGAGCAGAUUCUUAUAUGGAAAGAAGUCUGCACCCCAUGUCUUUCAGAAUGGAUAUUGUUAACAUCCGGAGUAUUGGCCAUUGCCCAGUUCAUGGACUCUUUGGCCACUUGGCUGCCAAUCGCUGCUUUUCCUAUGCUUCUGCUUGUCCUUUGCUCCGAUUGAAUUGCCCUGAAUUCUAAAAUACCCCCUGCCUAUAAGGCCGUCUUCUGCCAAACGAUGGCCAAACACUUCCUGGUACAGCCUCCCUAUACUGAUUAUGUCUCUGUGCUUUCAAACCACCCUCUGGCCCUUUAUUCAUUUGUCCCCUUGUAUUUUAUUCCCCAGAAAUUGUGGCUUAAACUGUCGACUCUCCAUACAAGACAUGAAGGCAAUGUAUGGUCAAUGCCUUUAGCUUUUUGUUCAGUAGCUCUUCAGUUUGGUAUUUCAGCUGUCUGGUUGCUAGGGUCCUAUUUACCCUAGCAAUCAGGCAGUGGUUUGAAUGAGAGAUUAUGGAUAGGAUUGGGGGCCUACAUAGAAAGUAAUAAAAUUGUAGCCUCACCAAGCAAUACGUUUUGGGUGCCGGGGUCAGUGACCCCCUUUUAAAAGCUGGAAAGGGAAAGAAGAGGUAAAUUAUAAACUAAUUGCAAAGUUGCUAGAAAUGGGGCAUUCUAUAACAUACUAAAAGGGUCAGUUUUUGAAUUAUUUACCUUCUUUGGAUUCUUUUAAGUAUUGGUUCACUGACCCCGGAAGCCCAUAAACUAUUGCUCUAUGAGGCUACAACUUU